CCGCACGGGGAGAUUUCCGAUAGUUCACAGCCUCCAUGUACUUGGGACCAACCAUCGCCACGGUUGGUGUUUUGUCUGGGCCAUUCCCAUAUGUAAAUACAGUGUCCAUCAUCGGCGCAGCAAAUUCAACAUACUGUACGCAACAUAUAAUUAAUUCCUUGGAAACCAAUUAAACUUAUAUAAUUUACGUGGAUGCAUUGCAUGCAUGCCAUGCCAUGCCAUGCAGAAGAAGAAGAAGAAGAAGAAGAAGAAGAAGAA
rnacentral:lncRNA from 1 species